rnacentral:rRNA from 1 species
GAUGAACGCUGGCGGCGUGCCUAAUACAUGCAAGUCGAGCGAACCACUUCGGUGGUGAGCGGCGAACGGGUGAGUAACACGUAGGUGAUCUGCCCAUCAGACGGGGACAACGAUUGGAAACGAUCGCUAAUACCGGAUAGGACGAAAGUUUAAAGGUGCUUCGGCACCACUGAUGGAUGAGCCUGCGGCGCAUUAGCUAGUUGGUAGGGUAAAGGCCUACCAAGGCGACGAUGCGUAGCCGACCUGAGAGGGUGAACGGCCACACUGGGACUGAGACACGGCCCAGACUCCUACGGGAGGCAGCAGUAGGGAAUCUUCGGCAAUGGGCGAAAGCCUGACCGAGCAACGCCGCGUGAAUGAUGAAGGCCUGG